UGGGGAAUAUUGGACAAUGGGCGGAACCCUGAUCCAGCCAUGCCGCGUGUGUGAAGAAGGCCUUAUGGUUGUAAAGCACUUUAAGCGAGGAGGAGGGUACUGGUAUUAAUACUACCAGGUACUGGACGUUACUCGCAGAAUAAGCACCGGCUAACUCUGUGCCAGCAGCCGCGGUAAUACAGAGGGUGCGAGCGUUAAUCGGAUUUACUGGGCGUAAAGCGUGCGUAGGCGGCUAAUUGAGUCGGAUGUGAAAUCCCCGAGCUUAACUUGGGAAUUGCAUUCGAUACUGGUUAGCUAGAGUGUGGGAGAGGAUGGUAGAAUUCCAGGUGUAGCGGUGAAAUGCGUAGAGAUCUGGAGGAAUACCGAUGGCGAAGGCAGCCAUCUGGCCUAACACUGACGCUGAGGUACGAAAGCAUGGGGAGCAAACAGG
rnacentral:rRNA from 1 species